GAACGACGCUGGCGGCAUGCCUAACACAUGCAAGUCGAACGAGCCUUCGGGCUUAGGUGGCGCACGGGUGCGUAACACGUGGGAAUCUGCCCUUCGGUUCGGAAUAACAGUUAGAAAUGACUGCUAAUACCGGAUGAUGACGAAAGUCCAAAGAUUUAUCGCCGAAGGAUGAGCCCGCGUAGGAUUAGGUAGUUGGUAGGGUAAUGGCCUACCAAGCCGACGAUCCUUAGCUGGUCUGAGAGGAUGAUCAGCCACACUGGGACUGAGACACGGCCCAGACUCCUACGGGAGGCAGCAGUGGGGAAUAUUGGACAAUGGGCGAAAGCCUGAUCCAGCAAUGCCGCGUGAGUGAUGAAGGCCUUAGGGUUGUAAAGCUCUUUUACCAGGGAUGAUAAUGACAGUACCUGGAGAAUAAGCUCCGGCUAACUCCGUG
rnacentral:rRNA from 1 species